rnacentral:rRNA from 1 species
ACAAGCGGUGGAGCAUGUGGUUUAAUUCGACGCAACGCGAAGAACCUUACCAGGGCUUGACAUCCCCUGACCGCGUAUGAAAGUACGUUUUCACCCUCGGGUGACAGGGAGACAGGUGGUGCAUGGUUGUCGUCAGCUCGUGUCGUGAGAUGUUGGGUUAAGUCCCGCAACGAGCGCAACCCCUACGUUUAGUUGCUAACGCGUGAAGGCGAGCACUCUAGACGAACUGCCGUUGACAAACGGAGGAAGUGGGGAUGACGUCAAAUCAUCAUGCCCCUUAUGUUCUGGGCUACACACGUGCUACAAUGGCCGGUACAGACGGACGCAAAGCCGCGAGGUGGAGCAAAUCCUAAAAAGCCGGUCUCAGUUCGGAUUGCAGGCUGCAAUUCGCCUGCAUGAAGUCGGAAUCGCUAGUAAUCGCAGGUCAGCAUACUGCGGUGAAUACGUUCCCGGGCCUU